GGAAAGUUAGCUCACCAGGUUGGAACAUGGUGCUUAUAAUGCUGAGAUCAUGGGUUCAAUUCCCACACUGGCCA
rfam:Poecilia formosa, whole genome shotgun sequence.